AGGCCAUGGUGCGGGCAGACUCUUAAUAGCUCUAUAUCUCUCCCAAGCUUUGAAAAAUGAUUCUCCUUGGUUUUGAGUAAAUCUAGUUAUUUGGUUUCGAAGAAC